GUAUUUCUUGAAAUGUUGGUUUUCUUCAGAGUCCUUUGAGUUCCAUUGAUUUGUAACAAAUUUUCAUGUCAAUUUCACAACCUACCUUAAUGCAUGUGGAUUCCAGAGAAAGUUACAUAAAUUUUAUUUCAGAAAGCUAAAUUUUUACUGAACGAUUUCAUAUUUUCUGUAGAGAAAAUUAUUGAUAGUUAAAUGAUGCAUAUAAAAUGUUUAUAUUUAAUGUGCAAAGAAAAGUGGUAGACAUUUGACAAAAUACUGAUAAUGGCACUCGUCUACUCUCCAAUUAAUGCAUUACAUUUAAUUAAUGUGGUCUAGCUGAAGAUUUUUACAUUUAUGCAUGAAUAUGUGCUUGUUACAAGGUAUAUACGAAUAUUGUAUUGAAUUUUAUAAAAUAUUUUAUAGUGCUUGAUGUUGACGAUACGAGUAAUGUAUAGUUGGAGAAACCGGCUGAUAUCUUGUGAUGAGAAAACCUGGUCAUUUUCUGUGUUAAACUAGAGAAAGAUUUAAAUAGAGAUCUUUAUUUAUUAGAAAAGAAAUUUUAGAAAUUUGAACUCAAUCUGAAAUCAUGUUAUGUAUGAUCUGUUUUUGUACUGUGGCUGUAUUGUCGGCAUGGAUGAAUGAGUGCUGUGCUUAAAUGUUGGCCUAAUGAUGGCUAUGAAAUAUGAAAAAUUGAUAUACACAAUGUGUUCAAAACUGUGAUAGCAUGUGGUGUAGGAACACCACGUUAAAAUAUUGAAUUAGGAAAUAAAUCAGAUUUCCUGUG
rnacentral:sRNA from 1 species